ensembl:piRNA 21ur-7408 ncRNA
UUGGAUCUGAUGAUUUAAUCG